rnacentral:rRNA from 1 species
UACGAAGGGGGCUAGCGUUGUUCGGAAUCACUGGGCGUAAAGCGCACGUAGGCGGAUGUGCCAGUCAGGGGUGAAAUCCCGGAGCUCAACUUCGGAACUGCCUCUGAUACAGCACGUCUUGAGUCCGGAAGAGGUGGGUGGAAUUCCUAGUGUAGAGGUGAAAUUCGUAGAUAUUAGGAAGAACACCGGUGGCGAAGGCGGCCCACUGGUCCGGUACUGACGCUGACAGCGCGAAAGCCAGGGGAGCAAACGGG